AAAUAACUGGCGCAAAGCGCGAAGCAUAGAGGCGCGCCGCGAAGCUGUAUUGACAGUCGUCGAACACGCACUUGUCCGUUUUUGUUGUCGGGGUGUUAAAAGCAACACAUCCCGCAACUUUCUGCAUCGAGUGUGAAGAAGUGGUCGAAGAGAUAGUGGAGGAAACAAACCGCUAUGCCUCAGUGCAGCAGGAGAUGAUGCCAUCCGGAGUGAAAGGAAAGCUGGCCAAAUGGGUGCGGACAACAGUUAAUGAAAUGUAUUCAUUCUUGGUCGCUGUCUGCCUGAUGGGAAUUGUGAAAAAGUUUUCCCUCCGAGAAUACUGGAUCACAGAUCCCAUCCUCCUUACCCCCAUCUUCACAACACUCUUCUCCCAGGACCGCUUCCUGCUUCUCCUCCGUUGCUUGCACUUCGUCGACAGUGCAAGGGGUAAUGUAAAUGAUCCCCACAAGAUAAGAAAUGUGUUAACUGGUCUCACCACCUCAUUCAGACUGUCUUUGUACCAUACAGGUACCUUUGUGUCGAUGAAUCCCUGAUGAAGUGGAAGGGUAGGCUGGCAUUUCAGUAUACCAACACAAAGGCAUAGAGCUGGUGUCAAAUUCUUUGUCCUUUGUGAUGUAUUGACCGGUUAUGUGGAGGACUUGAUCAUUUACACUGGAUCACGUUCAAGGACUCUGCAUAUCUGGGUCAGUCGUGAUGACCUUACUUGCACCCUACUUCAAAAAGGGCCACAUCCUGUACUUAGACAACUGGUACAGCAGCCCGACACUGUUCCAGCACCUCUUCUACCGUGGAACCAGAGGCCUGUGGGACCGUUCAGGCAAAUCAGAAGGGGAUGCCAGCCGUCACUCCUAAAAUGAAAAAGGGCGAAGUGGAGUUUCAACAAAAUGGCAGUCAAUUGGCCGUUAAGUGGCAUGACAAACGAUGUCAUGCGCACCACUGUUCAUUCUUCAACAAUAUCAGCCACGGCAAGGAUUGAUCAUGCCACCGGGGGGAAACUGAAGCCAGCUUGUGUUCUCAAAUACAACAAGAAGAUGGAGGCUGUGGACAAGGCAGAUAUGGUGAACAGCUUUGUCGAAUGCGCCAGGAAGACUACCAAGUGGUAAAAGAAAGUAUUCUUUCACUUGGUAGUCACUGCUGUUCUCAAUGGCCACAUCGUCCACUGUCUGGGAGAGUCAUCACUUACCAGGAGUACAGACUGAACUUGAUGAGACAGCUGCUCGAGGUGCAUCAUACACCUCGACGCCCAUCCACCGGUGGCCGUCCCACAGUAGACCAUCCUCUGCUGUGGACUGCCAGGCACGUUCCCUCUGAGGUCCCUCAGACUGCUAACCAAGGAAGCAGGACCAGGCGGCAGUGCAAGGUGUGCAUGUUUACCUCGUGUUGGAGAAAGGACAGAAGAGUCCCAAAGUUCAUGUGUGCGGCAUGCAACGUUGCCUUGUGUGCUGCCCCAUGCUUUGAGGAGUAUCAUACCCUCAAACAUCAUUAAGCACACAUGGUUCUACCUUGGCCGUUGAGCGGGAUUUAAAAGCCAACGGUUCAAGCAGCAGGUUCACAUUUUCUAAUUACAUCUGGGUGAUAUGAGACAGGGGGCCCUAAUACAGGGUGACUCCUUGUUAAGCCAAGAUGUCACACUACUAAAACCCACCAGCAUCUUCAGCUGUCAAAAGGAUCUCAUAAACAAAACCAAAAAAAGUCACGCCACAACAACUGACCAAGCCAAGGAACUUCACAUUCUACCUUGACCGUUGAGCGGGAUUUAAAAGCCAACGGUUCAAGCACCAGGUUUGUAUGUGACUUUCUGCCUUGGCGUUGAGCGGGAUUUAAAAGCCAACGGUACAAGUAGCAGAUUUUCAAGACACUGCAUUUUACACAUAUAUAUAUUAACAUACGACUGUAUAUUUUUUAUAUUGUACUGUCUGUUCUCUGUUUCAGAUAUGUAGUUCUGGUUAUAAAAAACUAAACAAAAAUAACUUCUUUGUUUUAGAUCUCCUGUUCCUGUUAUAACCCCCCCACACACACACACACACACAUAUAUAUUUUCUGUUUCAGAUAUUCUUCGAGAUAUCCAGUUCCUGUAAAAAAUAAAUAAUAAACACUUUAUUUCAGACAUCCAGUUCAGUUCCUGUUAAAAAAACACAAAACUAUUUUUCAGAUAUCCAGUUCCUGUUAUAAAAAAAAAAAAAAAUAACCACCUCUCUUAGAACCAUCACCCUAUUGCGGUGGAGAGGUUUGUGUGUCCUAAUGAACCUGGGGGCUGUGUUUUCUGGAGCCUGGUGCUCUUGGUAAGGUCUCCCAAGACAAAGUGGUCUCAGGUGAGGGGCCAGACUAAGAAUGGUUAAAAAAAACCCUGCUCAGAGCCCCCGUCUAGAGCCAAAACAACAAACUUUCUUCUGUUUCAGAUAACCUUCAAGCUAUCCAGUUGUUUCAAUGUGUUCUAAUUGUUCUUUCCAGAAAAUGAAACUAUUAGUAAUAUAUACAUAUUUCAGUGGGACUUCAAGCCAUCCUUUCUCUUUUUUUUACUAUUAUGCACUAAUUAUUCUUUCUGUUUCAGAUAACACAUAUUUACCUUGUCUGUUGAGUGGGAAACCUAGAAUCUAAAGAUUUUCCAGGAGCUUGCUUGAUCGCCUUUUUGUGAGGGGUCAGGGAAUAAUUUUCCAGUCUCCCCUUUAUUGGCUCAAAUUGGCUGACUGGUUUUUCGAUUCCCUCUGGAAAAGCAGUUCUUAAUUAUAUCAAAUAAAUACAA